rnacentral:rRNA from 1 species
UACGGGGGGAGCAAGCGUUGUUCGGAUUUACUGGGCGUAAAGGGCGCGUAGGCGGCCAUCGCAAGUCAAUUGUGAAAUCUCCGGGCUUAACUCGGAAAGGUCAACUGAUACUGCGAGGCUAGAGUGCGGAAGGGGCAACUGGAAUUCUCGGUGUAGCGGUGAAAUGCGUAGAUAUCGGGAGGAACACCGGUGGCGAAGGCGGCGACCUGGGUAGAUACUGACGCUGAGGUGCGAAAGCGUGGGGAGCAAACAGG